UACGAAGGGGGCUAGCGUUGCUCGGAAUCACUGGGCGUAAAGGGCGCGUAGGCGGUCUUUUAAGUCGGGGGUGAAAGCCUGUGGCUCAACCACAGAAUUGCCUUCGAUACUGGGAGACUUGGAGUUCGGAAGAGGUUGGUGGAACUGCGGAGUGUAGAGGUGAAAAUUCGUAGAUAUCGCAAGAACACCGGUGGCGAAGGCGGCCAACUGGUC
rnacentral:rRNA from 1 species